CAGUAGCCGCGGGAAUACGUAGGGUGCGAGCGUUAAUCGGAAUUACUGGGCGUAAAGCGUGCGCAGGCGGUUGUGUAAGACAGGUGUGAAAUCCUCGGGCUUAACCUGGGAGCUGCGCUUGUGACUGCACAGCUAGAGUAUGGCAGAGGGGGGUGGAAUUCCACGUGUAGCAGUGAAAUGCGUAGAGAUGUGGAGGAACGCCGAUGGCGAAGGCAGCCCCCUGGGCCAAUACUGACGCUCAUGCACGAAAGCGUGGGGAGCAAACAGGAUUAGAUACCCCCGUAGUCCCUGUCUCUUAUAC
rnacentral:rRNA from 1 species